rnacentral:rRNA from 1 species
AGUGAGCGCUGGCGGCGUGCCUAACACAUGCAAGUCGAACGCGAAAGUUAUCUUCGGAUGGCGAGUAGAGUGGCAGACGGGUGAGUAAUGCAUAGGUAAUCUACCUUUGAGUGGGGGACAACAUGCCGAAAGGUAUGCUAAUCCCGCAUAAUAUCCCGCAACAUAAGUUGUGUGAUCAAAGGGGGGGAUUCUUCGGAACCUCUCGCUUGAAGAUGAGCCUGUGUCCUAUUAGCUAGUUGGUGGGGUAAUGGCCUACCAAGGCUCUGAUGGGUAGCCGAGCUGAGAGGCUGAUCGGCCACACUGGAACUGAUACACGGUCCAGACUCCUACGGGAGGCAGCAGUGGGGAAUUUUGCGCAAUGGACGAAAGUCUGACGCAGCGACGCCGCGUGAGGGAUGAAGGUCUUCGUGAUCGUAAACCUCUGUCAGGAAGGAUUAACGUACUUUGGUUAAUACCCAGAGUGCUUGACUAACUC